GCUACGGUAGGCUGCAAUUUGGGAGGAACUUAAAACUGUAUUUAUUUAAACAUUUCCCGAUACCGCAAAGGAAUGCUCGUACUUUUGCAGGGGUUUAUCUUUCCCUUCCUUUUUUUCUUAUUUUUUUAACCUCUAUUUUCUUAUGUAAAACUACCAAAAAAAACUCCAAAAUCGCCAUACCUUUUUCACUCACUCACUAGAUCACUCACUCCAUUCGCACACUAAAGAUUAAUAGAAAAAAACACUAAGACUAAUUUAAUUCCAUUGAUUUUUCCACACUGCUGCAGCUUUUGCUGCUUAAUUUCUGGUCGGGAAUGACGAUUAAACUAUAGGAAGAUAUUAUGCCCUUUCCCUUGGUGCAACUCCGAAACCUUCAACGCCAGCGUCGACUUUGGCGUAACGUUCGAUCUCGCGCCGCACACUGCUUUGAUCACCGGUUUCUUAUGCGCUUCUGCUGGCCGCCCGUCCCUGGUCUUCUCCUUCUCCUUUUGGAGCGGCGAUUUUGGUUUUGCGCUGUGGCCACCACGGUUUUGCAAAAAAUUCUGGUACGCCUGCCUCCGCCGAUUUUACGGGUCGCGCUUGCCUUCGCCGAUUUAGAGUGUUGCUUCUUGGGACUUGGGGCGGCAACUUUUGACCUACACCUAUGCAAUAAAAUCUAGAAAAUCUAACUGACCUCAUUCGCUUCUCACUCACCCUGGACUAGGCCGCAAUCCCACUAAUGCUGGGCUAUUCCUUUUUGGUUCCUUUACCGUGAUACUUGCUGCUGCUGUUGACGGUUGCCUCUCCUGAUUAAGCACUUUUGCUUUGAACUUUAUAUUAAACACCACUUUUUGAGCCAACUAAUCUAGGAAUGGCGGCAAAUGACGCUGCAAUAUAGGCAGCAACCUAUCUCUCCACCUAAUUGGAGAAAUUCUCUCACUCAGAAAAAGUCUGACAAUUCGCCCUGUUACCCAGAUUUCAUGCUUGGUCAUUUAACCUGCCAGGCCACCGAUCCUACCCGGCAAGAUUUAGAUGGCGCCACCAAUUCUUACUUUACAUCUAGGCAUUGGACCAUCUGCAGAUGCACCAAGCGCUAUAACUUGUUUGUUGUUGUUUAUUUAAAUAUCAACAUUAACUUUUGUUUAAUGCCAACAAAAAUAUUGUCAUGCACUUGCGCUGGCCUCGUGCUCAAAUUGCUGAUCGCGUGAAAACGAAUAUUGGCAUGGACUAGACGCGCCCGAGCAUAUCAAAAUUGAUAUAAAGGCGUUUAUGAGGCAAACUCACCUGGAGAUCCAAUCAUUAUCAGCCGGAUUUAAAGACUUCCUAAGUCGGUUCCAGAUGAUGGAAUCCAAUUUUAAGACUCUCCGAAAAGAAAGAAGUGUUCUUCUACCUUGCCAAAUACUCUUGCGGCGUGUCCGGUUGACACUGGCCACAGUUAACGGAUCACAUAAUGAAAAGUUAUCUUCUGAUCCUGUCCAAUUCGGUGCUCCUAAUUCUGGAUUUCCUGAUUCCAAUGAAACUCCCGGUUCACACUCUACCAAUUUUGACCAUGCAUCAACGUCUCAGACCGCGACCCCCCGUUCUUCCGCCGGUAUAAUGAAUACUAAUUCUGCCUCUAGAGAAAUAGCUCUGCAAGCCACAGUGUGCCGUUAAAUACCCCCGUGGGCCACCACUUCUGUGAUAUUAGAACAACUAAUAUUAAAUUUAUUUAUGUUUUCCGCGCAAAUCGAAGUGCUUUUGAAAACAAUGUUAGUACCCAUUUGAGCUGUUAAAUAAAUAUUCCUGGUAAUGACUUUUCUGACUCUAAAUUCAAUUUUAAAGUGAAUAUAUCUUCGUUUAAAAUUUGACUUCCAAUCUACUUUUUCCCACGGUCCUUGAUAUUUCCUUCAUCUUUGUUUAUUGGGAAAGCUCCGUAGACUGCACAUCAAUAGUGUCUCCUUUGAUGCCAAUGUGAUAGCCUUUACUGGAACCUGGCUCAACUCCUCUGUAUCGGACUGCGAAAUAUUUGCGGCCAAUAAGUUAUGCCUAUGGUGGUCUCUCAAUUGUCGAACUCACUGCCUUAAUUCCUGACGAGCAGAACGAUUUCAUGUUUGGUCUUAUUGACAUGUCCCUUGGUCAAGUUGAUUCAGUUUUUAAUGAGAAUGGCAUAUAUUUAGAACUUAUAUUUGUACACGAAUUGUGUGAUGCGGUCAUAAUACGAACUACUCCGUCCACUUCAGAAGACGCUCAUCAUACAACUGUCCAUUUAUAUUAUUUUCCUUAUACCUAACACCUCCACGAUCCCCUUUCGAAAACGAGGUUAAUAACACAUAAAUUUCGUCACCUCUGUUCCUAAUUUAUUGGAAAAACUCAGUAGAGUGCAAGUUACAACAGUUUCCAAAAACUAGUUCAGCGGGACAUUUCUAACACUAGGACAAGUGCAAUUGGUGGGCGCGUGUUGAACUAAGCUUUCUUUCUGAUUUGGCACGAGCAGUGAGCGGUCUAAAGUGAGCAAGAUAUAGUAAAUAAGAUCGUUACAUCUGGCGCCCAUAAGUUAUUGCCCUGAUCAAGGAAUCAAGGAGUUAAUAUGGACAAGAGCCCGCUGCACAGUCUGACAUGAAGGUACUGCAGGAGGAGCACCGGAAUGAUGCGCAGGCUGGCAGUGAUUACUCAGGCGUUAGCAGAAGCAGGCGAAACCUUUGGUGGGGAAGGGGGGUACGGUGUAUUGCACCACACCACAGCGCACACCCCGCGGUUUCCAUCGGCACCAUCAUCCUAACCAGCGCAACCAAAACAGCAAUAACAGCCUUGCAACAGCAGUACCAUAGCAGCAUCAGGAUGCGGUUACCAGAGCAGGGGGCAUUAAGAUCCACAAAUCCUGAUGCAGGAGAGCUGCAUGUCAACAACGGAGGAGGCAAGAAUGCCGAACGAUUGAAGGGCACUCAGGUCAAACUGUAAGCAACGGACCUUGAACCCGGAUGAAGCGGAGACACCGUGAGCUAACGGUGCCGAGCAGGACAUUCGACUCACGGCAAGGGCUACAUGGGCAACAAAGUCAAACGCAAAAUACGCUCCGUGUACUAACGGUAUGGCAGUGGACCUUGGCUGAAGAAGAAGGAUAACAACGGGACCACCACAGGAUAUUAAAGGUCGGCGCAAGUGCAGCUCACCUCGAAGUAAUAGUGCAAAAAUCAGAGCAAGUGCGUAAUCGAGACCAGUAGCAAGUAAAUCAAGGGCCAAGUGCCAGAAUCACAACGCUGAGAUCCAACGGUGCUAGGUCGUGGUUAAAUCUAAAUUGUUUUUAAAAUGCACAGUUAAAUAACAAAUGUUUUACGGUCAGGUAUUACAUUUUUUCGGACAAAUAACACUGUGCAACCAUUCGAAGUUGAUGACAAAAUACAUUGGUGCGACUAUAUAUGCGUAACAAAUCUUUGUGUGCUGAGCACGACCAAAUUCUAAGAAUUUUUGCACCACCCUCAGUUUUCGAAAAAAAUUAACUUAAAUCCCAAAAAGGACAAUUUUACGGGUUCUUUGAUUCUUAAUAACGGCCGAACUGAAUUUUACUGCCUAGACCUAUGAUAUUUUUACUAUAGGGCAACUAUUUGGCUAAGGAUCCUCAUACCCAUAACAACCGAGAGAUUUUUUUUUAAAUUUUAUAUUUAAAAAAAGAAUGCAAACACAUCAAAAGACCUAAAAGUGCUUUGUUUAAUAAUGACUAAAAGUAGCCUAUACCAAAUUUUGGAAGUGCCUACAGUAUUGAUUUAAAAUAUUGUUGAACGUUUAUGCACUAUCAAGUGGCCCAAGGAAACCAAGCACGAGCUUGUUACGCGCGGGCCCCAAUGGUAUAGUGGGCAACUCCCUGGUUGGUCUAUGGUGCAGCUGUGUUCUCAUGCGCCGGAUCAAUUUCAGUUCCGUUGACAAAGAUCUAUCAUAAACCAAAUGAUCAAUGCACCUUUUAUGCCAUUUGAAAGGAAUCCUUUAUUAAUCUACUUCACAAAAAGGCAGAAAGACUGACAUUAGCAGCUACCGUGACAUUGCCAAACAUAGUGCUAUUCUAAAACUUAAAAAAAAAAAUAUCCAUACGGCACUUAUUUUAUUGAAUCUUCUCUCUUCUAACCAAUUCCCAAUAUAUUCCGUCUUCCGUUUGCCGUUUAACGUCAAUAUUCCACUGUCAACAUCUGUUGUUCUUAUCUAUUAGAAUGAGCCUGACUGAAAUACGAUAGGCGGAACUGAACUGUUGAUUAGUGGAUUUGCCCCUCUUCGUUGCUGAUAGCCAAAUCUCCUGUCUGUGUUUGUAAAGGUGAUUCACUCUCGGUGGGUGGACAUAUACAUAGGCCUGAUUGAGUAUUCCACAGUGGAUAUCGUUUGCUGUUUGCGACUUUUAGAUGAUAUUUUGCAUGCCACUCGCG